CAAUUAUUUAUUAAUUACAGGCACAAGCUGGUAUAAGAAUGUCGUUUUUGUAUUUUCGGGUGCAUUUGGAUAGGAAUUUGAAAAUUAACUUUUAAUGUUAAAUUAAAAUUACAUUAUUUCUAGUAAGUUUUAAGGCAAUCCUGCAUUCAAUGAAAUUUAAUAAUCUUAUACCUUUAAACGAGCAAUUCUUGUAUAUUAAUAUAUAUAUAAUCUGAAUCUCGGAAACGGAUUCAACGAUUUUCAUAAAAUUUAGUAGGGUAAAACCUGGAUAGAUGCCGCAGCGGGAUAGAUGCCUCAUGUUCUAAAAACCUAACUUCCCGCACUCAUGACAAAAAAAUAAUUUAAUAAGUAGGAACCACAGUCACCCCAUACCUCAUGUACCAUUUGACAAUCGCGUGGUGACGAAGUGUUUUCCUCGUGGAUGUAAUUUUCUCCGCGCGGAAUUUCACGAACACGUCAAAGAUUUAAAGGUUAGUAUUUAGCGUGGUAUAACUUUAUAAUUAGUGUAAAAUUCCAUUAUAUUUUUUACUACGUGAAUAUAUUGGUUCAUUGAGUCUGCAUCUAAGUGUAAAUAAAUGCUAUUAUGUUUAUAAUUUAUUUACAAAAAAUUUGGGUAUCUAUCCUUAUCACAAAGGAUAGUUGCCCUGAUUUUUUGGGGCAUAGGUGCCUUUAGGGGCAUCUAUCCCUCCAUACUCUGCCAUUUCAGAAUAUAGCAGAAAUAUGCCACGAAAACAUAAAACACAAACAAAUGAUUUACCUACAGUUCAAGCAGCGAAGAUGAAGACAAUCCACUUUACUAUAAAAUGAAAGGAAAUAAAACAAUAGAUUUGCCCCUAAAGAAAUCUAAGGGAUAAACCUAACCUAAAACGCAUAACUAGCUACAUGAAACGUGUUUUUCAGAAAUGAUGUAAAAGAUGUGGAAAAUUGAAAGCACUAUCCAGUAAACUUCAAUUGGACAAAAUAUUAAAGAUAUUUGUUUUUUAUUGUGUUAAUUUAAUAUAAAAAAAAAUGAUUUUGCAAUGUACACAUUGACACUUAAUGUGAAUAUUUUAUAAACAAUUAAAAAUUUAUAUUUUUGUUGAAUAACAAUUUGUAAAAUUUAAUUUAAUAAAAAAAUUGGAUAAUGCAUGUUGAAACUAAAAAAAUUGUAGUUUAGCUUACGCUUACUUAACGAUUUAAAAAAUUAAUUAUGAUCAUUUGUGUGAUAUGAGAAUUUUCUUUUAAUUAUAAACAUUCAAAGACUUAAAAAAUACAAAA